rnacentral:lncRNA from 1 species
GGGAAAUGUUCAGCUUAGGGUUUAAAACCCUAAUGCUGACUAAAUGGAAAAAGUUCAGUUUAGGGUUUAAAACCCUAAUGCUGACUAAAGGAAAAAGUUCAGUUUAUGGUUUUAAAACCCUAAUGCUGACUGAAUGGAAUAAGUUCAGUUUAGGGUUUAAAACCCUAAUGCUGACUGAAUGGAAAAAGUUCAGUUUAGGGUUUAAAACCCUAAUGCUGACUGAAGGAAAAAGUUCAGUUUAGAGUUUAAAACACUAAUGCAGACUGAAUGGAAAAAGUUCAGUUUAGGGUUUAAAACCCUAAUGCUGACUGAAGGAAAAAGUUCAGUUUAAGGUUUAAAACCCUAAUGCUGACUGAU